ACACGACUACAUUAGAUACCCCUGUAGUCCUAGCCGUAAACGAUACUCGCUAGGUGUCGGCCACGGUGCGACCGUUGUCGGUGCCGUAGGGAAGCCGUGAAGCGAGCCACCUGGGAAGUACGGCCGCAAGGCUGAAACUUAAAGGAAUUGGCGGGGGAGCACCACAACGGGUGGAGCUUGCGGUUUAAUUGGAUUCAACGCCGGAAAUCUUACCGGGACCGACAGCAACAUGAAGGCCAGGCCGAAGACUUUGCCGGAUUAGCUG
rnacentral:rRNA from 1 species